rnacentral:sRNA from 1 species
UACAACAGCGUACUUCUACUUCCUAUUGCUUCGAUUUACAGCCAAGCUUUCCAUCUUGUUUGGGGCAUAUUUCACCACAAAUUGCCGAAUUGAAGGUUGAUAGCUGUAGCGUGUAGUUAGAACCAACUGUUUUAUUGCGCAAACAAUGUCCGAGACCUAGCAACACAAGUUGAUCCCCAGGAGAAAUCGAAACUGCCCGCUAAUAGCCAUAGCCCCAAGCAAAUUUUCCUGUUGCGAGAAUCGAAUUGCACUCUAGGCUACUGCUUAGUCAGUGUUUCCAAGACCAACCCUUUGCUCUCGCUCGUCAACUCUGCGACUGAAAGUAUCGUUUUGAAUUUCUUCCUGGCCCUGGAGCUGGGAGUACACUGGCAGCAUUGCCAUCCUGAUCCGUCACCAUGACCGUUCCCCAGCUGCGGCACCAAGUCAUCCGGAUUUACAAAGAGCUCCUCUUCCUUGGCCGCGAAUACCCUCUCGGCUACCAAUUCUUUCGCGAACGCUUACACCGUGCUUUUGCGAGCCAGGCUCACGUCACUGACGAGGCGAAAAUCGUAGUCGGAAUACGGAGGGCGGAGUAUGUGAAGAAAGAGAUUGAGGCAUUGUGAGUUAUAUUCCUUGCUUGUGUAUUUCUCCCCUUCUUCUACUGUUCUCAUAUUUUCCCACGAUGGUUGUUUGGGUUGCGAUCCGGUGAUUUUAAUCGGCAAUUGAAGAACGAGCAAAAAAUAAAUAAGUAAAAUGAAUUCCCCUGUGGCUCCCCCAUUUUAUACACACAGAAUAAUAUUUCAUUUACAGCAAAGUAUGGGACGAUAAAAAAGGAAGAGGGAGGGGAAAGAAAUGUACAGAUAUUGUUACUCCAAACAGCCAAGUGGAAGAAAAAGGGCAACAUAUGGUCCAAAAUGAAAGAGGUCGGAGAUCAAGGAGGGAAAGGGGGGAUUUGCGGAUCCCCAAGAAGAAGCACCCUCCGAAUAGCGGCCUCUUGCUCGCACAGUUCAUGCACCAUGUUUAAAUGUUAUUUCGUCGUGCCAAAAUCCGAUAUUAUUUGUGCUGGUUUUGGUAUAUUGGCUGUGGAAAUUAUACGAAAAUAAGGGAGAAAAAUGAAACGGAGCGCUAACGAUGGUAAAAUGCAGAUAUUACUUGAGACGAUAUCGCGCCCUCAAGAAUCGAUAUGAUACACCCAAAAUUCCUGUCGAGACAUGAGCUGGCUGACCGCAGAGAGGGAUGUAACAAAGUGGCGGGGGGAAUCGAAGGAGAGCGAGGAUGAGAGUGCCAACCAAGGCUUGUCACAGCAGGAUCCGAAAUGAGAAAAUGUUAUCCGCCGUUUCUCGAGGAUAUAAUAGCUCGCCAUCGACAUAAAAUCAAUUGGAAAAAUUGAACAAGCACAGUUAUCGCUUUUGGCCCCACCAUGCUCCGACUUCGAGACACUCGCCACUUGCCACGCCACCGUUCUGCAGCAAGUCCAUUGUCAUUCCAGUCCACCAUCGAUCCCAUUCGUCUCUGCCUUUCCCACUAACCUCCAUCAGCAUUGGCUCCAUACUCUCGAUCAUUUGAACGAUUGUAAAUAGCGCGGUCUGGCGUAUGGCAAGCUGGUCUGCUGAUAAGGUCUUGGGCUGUUUCCAGUUUUUGGAUGCGCCAUCCUGCGGCUCUCGCUCCCAUUUGACUUCUCCCAAAGGAAUUGCUAUCCUACGACUAUCCAUGCUAUUGAAGGAAUCCGUCUCGGAUGUGAAGGAAAGGCCUAUCAUGGCACAUGGCAUGGGCGUUAGUCUGCGACGUUCAAAAGCCUUUUGCGCCCAGGAAUUGUAAUCGCGUAAAUAUUUGUUCUGGGCGUCUGCGAAUGGGGUAGCUGGAAAUAUGGUGUAUGUGCCUGUGGCUACCGCAUGUUCCACGUUUUCCCCCGAUAGCCCAGGUACAAGUGGCGGAUUUGGCAAAAGCGUUCUAAAUAUAAGAUCUGAAUCCCACACUUCAAGAACACCCCCGGAUUUCAGAACACGAAGAGGUUCACCCAAUGGAAGCGUUUGCAACUCUGAUCCUGACGGACAAAUCCCAGCAUCUUUUAUGAACACAAAGUCAAAGUAACCAUCGGGAAACGGUAAUUGAGACUUCCGUAGGUCGUGCCGUUUAAACUGCCAAUUGAUGCCUUGUUUCUGAAGGUCUGGCGCAAGGUUUACAAUAUCGAGGCCAGUGAAGGACAUGUUUUUGUGUCCUCUCCGGGCAAAGUAGUCAUGGCAAGCGUUUGACCAUAACGCAGAGCCACAAGCUAACUCCAACACACGCUUCGGCGGGUGGUCGGCAAAAUGGGGUGUGCAAAAGGGAGCGCCGAACACAUGCAUCAAAAUGAGUGAACGCAGCGACUGGCGAUGGAUCUCUGGAAUAUCGCAGGGAAGUGGGUACGGGUUAUCUGGGUCGCGCAGAAUCGUACGGCCAUUGCGCUUGGCCAGUGGGUACGUCGUGUAGUCAGUGGAAGAGGAGGUGGAAGAUGACGAAGUCGUUGGCAUUGCAGAUCCUUGAGAGAGAGAAUUGGAUCUCUGGUAGGCAUGGUGUUUAGGAUCAUAGGCCAAAGGCGAACUGGGGAUGAAGAGGUAGGAUAAGUUUGCGGACCCGGACAUGGUGCUGAAAUUUUCCGGUUUCACGCGAUGUAAUUUUUCGUGUGUAUGUGUUACGUAAAUAUUGGGCCAUACUACGAAGUAGGUUUUAGCAACGAGCAAAGAAGCACUACACUCGAAAAAGCUCACUUGGAUAAUGGGCUGUGGAAUUACUAUACCUAAGAAUAUUUAGGAUUCAUUUUGGCUACCUAAGCUCGUUGAAUCGCUGCAGGAGGUUUGUGGCCAGUGUGAGCGGUUGGGCAUUAUGGGCUCACAAUCCUACAACAACCUGAGAGCGACAGAAUGAGCAAGAGGGAAGAGAGAGAGAGGAAGUGAAUUUUGAUGCCCACAGAAGAAGAGGAAGAAGAAGAAGCGGA